UACGUAGGUGGCUAGCGUUGUCCGGAUUUCCUGGGCGUAAAGAGCGCGCAGGCGGUCGUUCAAGUCGAGUGUGAAAGCCCCCGGCUCAACUGGGGAGGGUCACUCGAUACUGAUCGACUUGAAGGCGGGAGAGGGAAGCGGAAUUCCCGGUGUAGUGGUGAAAUGCGUAGAUAUCGGGAGGAACACCAGUGGCGAAGGCGGCUUUCUGGCCCGUUCUUGACGCUGAGGCGCGAAAGCUAGGGUAGCAAACGGG
rnacentral:rRNA from 1 species